GGAGGGUUGGCAGAGCUGGCUUAAUGCACUGGUCUUGAAAACCAGAGAACGUGACGAGCGUUCCGUGAGUUCGAAUCUCACACCCUCCU
rnacentral:tRNA from 1 species